GAGUAGUCUAAUGUUGUUCCGGUUUUUGUUCUUGUGAACAUUGACAUCGAUUCGUUCCAAAUUUACACUCUCGGGGCAUAAUAGAACAAUAUAAUUAGGUUUUACGCUUUAUUAGAUAGAAUGAGAAAAAGUACCCGUUGCAAAGUUAUACUGUUAGGGUGCAACUGAGUAGUCUAAUGUUAUUCUGAUUUUUAUUCUUGUGAACGUUGACAUCGAUUCGUUCCAAAUUUACAAUCUCGGGGCAUAAUAGAACAAUAUAAUUAGGUUUUACUCUUUGUUCGAUAGAAUGCGAAAAAGUACUCGUUGUAAAGAUAUACUGUUAGGGCGCAACUGAGUAUUCUAAUGUUGAUCUGGUUUUGGUUCUUAUGAAUGUAGACAUCAAUUCAUUCCAAAUUUGCACUCUCGGGGCAUAAUAGAACAAUAUAAUUAGGUUUUACACUUUGUUCGAUAGAAUGAGAAAAAGUACUCGUUGUAAAGUUAUACUGUUAGGGCGCAACGAAGUAUUCUAAUGUUGUUCCGGUUUUGGUUCUUGUGAACGUUGACAUCGAUUCACUCAAAAUUUACACUCUCGGGGCAUAAUAGAACAAUAUAAUUAGGUUUUACUUUUUGUUCGAUCGAAUGAGAAAAAGCACUCGUUGUAAAGUUAUACNGUUUUUGUUCUUGUGAGCGUUGACAUCGAUUCGUUCCAAAUUUACACUCUCUAGGCAUAAUAGAACAAUAUAAUUAGGUUUUACGCUUUCUUCAAAAAAAUGAGAAAAAUUACUCGUUGCAAAGUUAUACAGUUAGGGCGCAACUGAGUAGUCUAAUGUUAUUCCGGUUUUUGUUCUUAUGAGCGUUGACAUCGAUUCGUUCCAAAUUUACAAUCUCUGGGCAUAAUAGAACAAUAUAAUUAGAUUUUACGCUUUCUUCGAUAAAAUGAGAAAAAGCACUCGUUGCAAAGUUAUUCUGUUAUGGCGCAACUGAGUUGUUUAAUGUUGUUCCGGUUUUUGUUCUUGUGAGCGUUGAUAUCGAUUCGUUCCAAAUUUACACUCUCUGGGCAUCAUAGAACAAUAUAAUUAGGUUUUACGAUUUUUUUUAUAAAAUGAGAAAAAUUACUCGUUGCAAAGUUAUACUGUUAUGGCGCAACUGAAGUGCCUAAUGUUGUUCCAGUUUUUGUUCUUGUGAGCGUUGACAUCGAUUCGUUCCAAAUUUACACUCUCUAGGCAUAAUAGAACAAUAUAAUUAGGCUUUACGCUUUCUUCGAUAAAAUGAGAAAAAGUACUCGUUGCAAAGUUAUACUGUUAGGGCGCAACAGAUUUGUCUAAUGUUGUUCCGGUUUUUGUUCUUAUGAGCGUUGACAUCGAUUCGUUCCAAAUUUACACUCUCUGGGCAUAAUAGAACAAUGUAAUUGGAUUUCACGCUUUUUUCGAUAAAAUGAGAAAAAGCACUUGUUGCAAAGUUAUUCUGUUAUGGCGCAACUGAG
rnacentral:lncRNA from 1 species